GUAGGGUGCGAGCGUUAAUCGGAAUUACUGGGCGUAAAGCGUGCGCAGGCGGUUGUGUAAGACAGAUGUGAAAUGCCCGGGCUUAACCUGGGAAUUGCAUUUGUGACUGCACGGCUAGAGUGUGUCAGAGGGGGGUAGAAUUCCACGUGUAGCAGUGAAAUGCGUAGAUAUGUGGAGGAAUACCGAUGGCGAAGGCAGCCCCCUGGGAUAACACUGACGCUCAUGCACGAAAGCGUGGGGAGCAAACAGGAUUAGAUACCCUGGUAGUCCACGCCCUAAACGAUGUCGACUAGUUGUUGGGUCUUAAUUGACUUAGUAACGCAGCUAACGCGUGAAGUAGACCGCCUGGGGAGU
rnacentral:rRNA from 1 species